rnacentral:rRNA from 1 species
UACGUAGGUGGCAAGCGUUGUCCGGAAUUAUUGGGCGUAAAGCGCGCGCAGGUGGUUUCUUAAGUCUGAUGUGAAAGCCCACGGCUCAACCGUGGAGGGUCAUUGGAAACUGGGGAACUUGAGUGCAGGAGAGAAGAGUGGAAUUCCACGUGUAGCGGUGAAAUGCGUAGAUAUCUGGAGGAACACCGGUGGCGAAGGCGGCAUCCUGGGACCAAUUCUGACGCUGAGGAGCGAAAGCCAGGGGAGCAAACGGGG